rnacentral:rRNA from 1 species
AGCGAACGCUGGCGGCAGGCUUAACACAUGCAAGUCGAGCGGGCACUUUCGGGUGUCAGAGGCGGACGGGUGAGGAACGCGUGGGAACGUGCUCGCUGGGUAGGACUAACUCAGGGAAACGUGAGCUAAUACCGGAUACGCACGGUGGGGGAAAGGCUUGCUGCCGGAGGAUCGGCCCGCGUCUGAUUAGCUAGUUGGUGAGGUAACGGCUCACCAAGGCGACGAUCAGUAGCUGGUCUGAGAGGAUGAUCAGCCACACUGGGACUGAGACACGGCCCAGACUCCUACGGGAGGCAGCAGUGGGGAAUAUUGGACAAUGGGCGCAAGCCUGAUCCAGCCAUGCCGCGUGAGUGAUGAAGGCCUUAGGGUUGUAAAGCUCUUUUAUCCGGGACGAUAAUGACGGUACCGGAGGAAUAAGCCCCGGCUAACUUCGUG